GAAAGACCCCAGCUUAGCAGCAGUAACGCCAUUUUGCAAGGCUGUACUUAAGAUGACUGGUUCAGGGAAAGGUUAGAACACUGAGUAUACAGCGGCUGCCAAGCAGGAGAUGUUUGGUUGAAGGCCUGGCAACAGGAUGACUGGGGUUGAGCACCUGACAAUAAGAAAAAGCCCCGGGAGAGGUCCCACACCCUGGUGGGGGGGCCGAGUCAGUUGUUAUGUUUCAAGAAGGUAGCUUGGAAACUUGCCCCCAGGCUAAACUCUUGGGGGGCCGAGUCAGCCGUUAUGUUUCAGGAAGGUAGCUAGGAAACUUGCCCCCGGGCUGAACCCUUUGGGGGCCGAGUCAGCCGUUAUGUUUCAGGAAGGUAGCUUGGAAACUUGCCCCCAGGCUAAACUCUUGGGGGGCCGAGUCAGCCGUUAUGUUUCAGGAAGGUAGCUAGGAAACUUGCCCCCGGGCUGAACCCUUUGGGGGCCGAGUCAGCCGUUAUGUUUCAGGAAGGUAGCUAGGAAACAUUAGAAUCCACCAAUGAUAUCCCUGUAACCAUGCAUCUGCUUCUGUAUGCUUGCUUCUGCUCCCCAAAAUCCUAUAAAAAAGCCCAUCCUUGGUUCCGUGGGCGCGCCAGUCCCCCGAGCGACUGAAGCGCCCACAGGUACCUGUGUAUCCCG
ensembl:lncRNA